rnacentral:rRNA from 1 species
UACGUAGGGGGCAAGCGUUGUCCGGAAUCAUUGGGCGUAAAGAGCGUGUAGGCGGUUCGGUAAGUCGGCUGUGAAAGUCCAGGGCUCAACCCUGGGAUGCCGGUCGAUACUGCCGGACUAGAGUGCGGAAGGGGCAACUGGAAUUCUUGGUGUAGCGGUGAAAUGCGUAGAUAUCAAGAGGAACACCUGAGGUGAAGACGGGUUGCUGGGCCGACACUGACGCUGAGUGCGCGAAAGCCAGGGGGAGGCAAAACGGGAUUAGAAACCCCC